rnacentral:lncRNA from 1 species
AUCAUGUCAAUAAGAUGAACUAGAUGUCUAAUCAACAUCGAAAUUCAUUGGGAUUGAAACUAAUAAAGAUAUUCAGAGAAGAGAGUAGGGAGAAGAAAGGAAUCAGAUGAAACUACCUACUUGCUUGAGUUGAGUCCAUGUGUUCCUUGAUCGAUACUCCCAAGGUAAAGCCUGCACUUUUAUUUUAUGCAAGAAAUGAGGUUAGUAGAGGGGAUUGUCAGACAGGAUCUGUUAAGUUGUUGACUAGGUGAAUUUGGUUGCUAUACUAGGAUAUUGUAUAAUGUGCUUCUAAAGUUAGGAUGUCUAUGAUUUGGUUUGCACUACUAGAAAGAUGAUGACUGAGUUUUUAAAAUCUUUUGAGUCCCUGCAGUUUUCAAACCUCUUUCAGAGAGACUGCCUGUUGGUUUUGCUUGAGGACAAGCAAAA